ACAGAACUGACUCUCUCGCGUUCGCUUCCUCUGCCCGUCGCCGACGCUGCUUGCCCUCGACGCCACCGGAUGUUGCUCGCCUUGCCGCUCAGCCGCUCGCCGUCGACGCCGCCGCUGGACGCCGCUCGUCCCCCGGUGGAGGCCGCUCGCUCGCCUAGCCGCCCCGACGCCGCUCGCCGCUCGCCCAGCUGCCCCCCCCGACACCGCUCGCCGCUCACCCAGCCGCCUCGACAGGGCUUGCCGCUCGCCCAGCCGCCUCGAUGCCGCUCGCCCCCCGACACUGCAGUGCAUGUGCGAGAUGAUGAAGUUCUUGCUGGAAGCUUCUUCUCUGUGGCAGGAGCACUUGUGGGUCUGCUAAAACCAGGGAGGAUGAGCAUGUUUGGGACGCUGCUAAUAAUCUGGGGUCUUGUCAAGGAGGGCAUCUUGGGAAAGCCUGUGAAUGUGGAUCCUGCAAAGGCAGUCCAUGUUUAUCCUACGAUGUUGCUUGCAUUGAUCUGUGCCUUGUCAUCCAUUAAAUAUGAUGUGAAGAAGGCCAUGAGACCUGCCCCUGCUCGAACAAUUGCAAAGCCAUUGCAGAGCCAUUGCAGAGCUCAUCAAAAUCUAAGCUGAAAUGAGAUGAAUUGCAAUUUAUGCUUAAAUUGGUGGCCACAUGCACAUUAAGACUUUUUGUCCCUAAAUGACCCCUACAUGUCCUGUUGAGGUUUAUUAGUGCUGCAAAGCUGCAGAACUUCUGUAUUCGCAAGCACCUGUUCUAUCGCCAAAGAACUUAUAUGAAUAGUGGUGAUGGAGAAAGGGAAGAUGUACUUACAACUCAAUCAAUUUGCCACGGUGGUUUCGUAUGUUUUAGUUUCUUUCACAUGCUUAAAAGGGACGUCUCUGAUUUUAUUCCAAUUAUGAUAGUCAUGAAGGCAAUGGGAAUGGAAAGUGAUCAAGAGGUUGUCCAGAUGAUCGGCAGAGACCCUAGAUAUAGUGCCCUACUUCUUCCAUCAAUUGAGGAAUGUGCAAGCCUCAGUAUAUUUACACAACAACAAGCUCUUGAGUUCCUCCAGGGAAAGGUUUGAAAAGCUUUGCAACUUCAAGCUCUUGGGUUUCCUAAUGCAUUUCUGUUCUGCAAGAGUUCAACAAGUUCCUUCAGCUUGUAAUAUAGUCCCCAUUGGCUCUGCACUUCAAACAGAAACGAGAGACCACUCCAUUAUCGAAUACACCAUGCCAAUUGUUUGUUUAUGCACUCUGGGACCUAUGACUCUUGUGCCUGGCCAGGCCAAUAAUGCAUACAUUUUCCCAGGACUUGGUCUAGGCUUGAUAAUGUCUGGGCUUGCGAACUUUGGUAUUCUAAGAGCAUGAAAAUUCAGUUUGCUGAUGGAGCGGCAUUAGUCAAAGGGACAGCAAGGUGCUUUUUGUUUUUUUGGAUGCUUUAGCUCCCAAGGAACUAUUUUUGGCAAUUUAUGGACA